UACGUAGGGUGCGAGCGUUGUCCGGAAUUAUUGGGCGUAAAGAGCUUGUAGGCGGUUUGUCGCGUCUGCUGUGAAAGACCGGGGCUUAACUCCGGUUCUGCAGUGGGUUACGGGCAGACUAGAGUGUGGUAGGGGAGACUGGAAUUCCUGGUGUAGCGGUGAAAUGCGCAGAUAUCAGGAGGAACACCGAUGGCGAAGGCAGGUCUCUGGGCCAUUACUGACGCUGAGAAGCGAAAGCAUGGGGAGCGAACAGGAUUAGAAACCCUUGUAGU
rnacentral:rRNA from 1 species